UAAAGAUUUUAAGGGCGUACGGUGGAUGCCUUGGCGAUAUCAGCCGAAGAAGGACGCGGUAAGCUGCGAUAAGCUACGGAGAGGUGCAAGCAACCUGUGACCCGUAGAUAUCCGAAUGGGGGAACCCGGCAGUGGUUAUGCACUGUCACCCAUACCUUUGAGUAUGAGGAGGGCACCUGGGGAACUGAAACAUCUAAUUACCCAGAGGAACAGUAAUCAAACGAGAUUUUCUUAGUAGCGGCGAGCGAACGGGAAAGAGGCCAAACCGGAGCGGGCAACCGCACCGGGGUUGAGGACAGUCAUCAAGUGUAAAUGAGGUAGAAGAAUCGAGCUGGAAAGCUCAGCCGCAGAAGGUGAAAGCCCUGUAAUCGAAACCUUGCAUACAUGGGACUGUAUCCAGAGUACCACGAGACACGUGAAACCUUGUGGGAAGCAGGGGGGACCACCCUCCAAGCCAAAAUACUGAUAUCGACCGAUAGCGCAUAGUACCGUGAGGGAAAGGUGAAAAGAACCCCUGGCGGGGAGUGAAAGAGAACCUGAAACCGUAUGUCUACAAACAGUCGAAGUCUGUAUAUAUAUCAGGACGACGGCGUGCCUAUUGAAGAAUGAACCGACGAGUUACUGUUGCUAGCGAGGUUAAGUGGAAAACAUGGAGCCGCAGCGAAAGCGAGUCUGAACAGGGCGUUCAGUUAGUAAUAGUAGACCCGAAACCGUAGUGAUCUAUCCAUGGCCAGGUUGAAGCACAGGUAAAAUUGUGUGGAGGACCGAACUCGUGAGCGUUGAAAAGCUUUGGGAUGAGUUGUGGAUAGGGGUGAAAUGCCAAUCGAACUCGGAGAUAGCUGGUUCUCCCCGAAAUAGCUUUAGGGCUAGCCUCGAGGUAGAGAGUAUAGGCGGUAGAGCACUGAUCGGGCUAGGGGCCAUACCGGUUACCGAACCUAGUCAAACUACGAAUGGCUAUACUUAUACUCGGGAGUCAGACAGUGAAUGAUAAGGUCCAUUGUCAAGAGGGAAACAGCCCAGAACACCGACUAAGGUCCCCAAUGUUACACUAAGUGGCGAAGGAUGUGGAAUUUCCAAAACAACCAGGAUGUUGGCUUAGAAGCAGCCACCAUUUAAAGAGUGCGUAAUAGCUCACUGGUCGAGAGACUCUGCGCCGAAAAUGUCCGGGGCUAAAGUGUAAAACCGAAGUCGUGUCAUAUGCAGCAAUGUAUAUGGGUAGGGGAGCGUUCUCAUCGGGCUGAAGCAGUACCGUAAGGAGUUGUGGACUGAUGAGAAGUGAGAAUGUCGGUAUGAGUAGCGAAAAGAAUGGUGAGAAUCCAUUCCACCGAAAGCCUAAGGGUUCCUGAGCAACGAUCGUCGUCUCAGGGUAAGUCGGGACCUAAGCCGAGGCGGAAAAGCGUAGGCGAUGGACAACAGGUUGAAAUUCCUGUACCGGUGUGAAUCGUUUGAUCGAUGGAGUGACACAGUAAGGUAGGUCAGCACGCGAUUGGAAGAGCGUGUUUAAGCAGGUAGGUUGAGCUAUAGGCAAAUCCGUAGCUCUAAAAGCUGAGAUGUGAUGACGAGUGACUAGCAAUAGUCGCGAAGUGAUUGAUCCUACACUGUCGAGAAAAGCUUCUAGGUAGAGACACAUCGCCCGUACCAAAACCGACACAGGUAGGCGGGGAGAGAAUCCUAAGGUGCGCGGGAAAACCCUCGUUAAGGAACUCGGCAAAAUGCCUCCGUAACUUCGGGAAAAGGAGGACUCAUGUAGUGUGAAGAGCAGAAGCGCUUGGAGCAUGAAUGAGUGGCACAAGAGAGGCGCAAGCGACUGUUUACCACAAACACAGGUGCCUGCUAAAGCGAAAGCUGAUGUAUAGGUGCUGACACCUGCCCGGUGCUGGAAGGUUAAGAGGAGGGGUUAGACUUCGGUCGAAGCUCUGAAUUGAAGCCCCAGUAAACGGCGGCCGUAACUAUAACGGUCCUAAGGUAGCGAAAUUCCUUGUCGGGU
rnacentral:rRNA from 1 species